rnacentral:rRNA from 1 species
CAGCCGCCACGGUAAUACGAAGGGUGCAAGCGUUACUCGGAAUUACUGGGCGUAAAGCGUGCGUAGGUGGUUGUUUAAGUCUGCUGUGAAAGCCCUGGGCUCAACCUGGGAAUUGCAGUGGAUACUGGGCGACUAGAGUAAGGUAGAGGAUAGUGGAAUUUCCGGUGUAGCAGUGAAAUGCGUAGAGAUCGGAAGGAACAUCUGUGGCGAAGGCGACUAUCUGGGCCAUUACUGACACUGAGGCACGAAAGCGUGGGGAGCAAACAGGAUUAGAUACCCCCGUAGUCCAUGUCUCUUAUAC